CUGGGCAAAGUCAGCUUCUAAAUUGAC
rnacentral:piRNA from 1 species